UUCGUAGCUCAGUUGGCAGAGCCUCGCACCGGUAUCGCGAGGUCACGGGUUCAAACCCCCUU
rnacentral:tRNA from 1 species